rnacentral:lncRNA from 1 species
ACCUGGAAUGACCUCCCUUUCCUUUGUUGCUUCCAGAGCCAGUGGGAAAAUUACCUCCUGGGUGGCACGAUCUCUGGAUUGCCACAGAAUGCUUACCCGCUCCGUUGCCACGGACUCUCGUCCCUUCUCUGCCCUCUGCAGUCCUCCUUCUCUCGGUGAGGCUGCCCCUUCUCUAUGUCUAGGGCUCUCAGAGAAUGCGAUCUUCAAAUUGACUCAUGUUCAUCAACAGACUGAGAUUUCUAUGUGUAUCCUGGUACAGCUCUUUCAUUGGUGAGGAGCAGAAACCGGUUGAAGAAGCUGGAGGAAAAGAAAAGAUGACUGUAAAAACCUGCUAGGAAACAAACUACGGCCGGCUCCCUAUGAACUAGAACCUGACACUGGGGAGUCAUCUGCUGAGAGACUGUCCACCUGGUGUUUAUUGGGUUCCCACCAUGCCAGGUACUAUUCUAGAAGCUGGGGAGUCAGCGGAGCGUGGGGUGAUGGCCAGUAGAUACAUUAACCAGUGACAAUGUCAGAAGAUGGUGUUUGGAAAACAAUAAAAGAUGGC